GACGAACCGUGCGAACGUUGUUCGGAAUCACUGGGCUUAAAGGGCGCGUAGGCGGAUUCUCAAGUCGGUGGUGAAAUCGUUCGGCUCAACCGGACAAGUGCCGCCGAUGACUGGGGUCUCGGAGGGAGGGUAGGGGUCGCGGGACUGGUGGUGGAAGCGGUGAAAUGCGUAGAUAUCGACUAGGAACGCCGGUGGCGAAAGCG
rnacentral:rRNA from 1 species